rnacentral:rRNA from 14 species
CUUAGUUCGGAUUGUUCUCUGCAACUCGAGAACAUGAAGUUGGAAUCGCUAGUAAUCGUAGAUCAGCACGCUACGGUGAAUUUGUAUCUAAGCCUUGUACACACCGCCCGUCACAUCAUGGGAGUUGGUUUCACCCGAAGAUCGUGCGCUAACCUUUGGAGGCAGCGAGCCACGGUGGGAUCAGCGACUGGGAUGAAGUCGUAACAAGGUAGCCGUACUGGAAGGUGUGGCUGGAAUACCUCCUU